GAUGCUAAUGAUUGCAGCACACUCGAGGCAAGCUCCAAAGCGUUUCUAACGAGAGUCGAAACCCAGAAGAGUAACCGAGUCCGUGUGGAGCGCGCCUGAUGUAGGCGCUGUCCGCUCACCGGAAUGCCACCGAAAAACACGAAGACUGAUGCGAGGGAUUCCGCGCUUCAGCGCGUGCGUCAGCGUCCCGCAGGCUCCUGCGGACGAUCCCUGGACAGGCGUACAUGAUAGAGUGCUGGAGUCCUAGACUGCGUCUCGUGUACGGCAGCGAGGAGCGUGCAUUCACGAACUUAUUCCGUGAGCGGCACGAAGCCAAAUGACUAGCAAGACGCCUCUGUGAGUGGUAGCCUGUGACGGUGCACGGGUUGCAGUGCGCGUGGCCUCCAUUCGCGUCCCGUGGACGAGAACGGACGAUAAGUGCAGCGACUGAUUCUUGUUAGACCCCCGUGGAUGCCUCCAGGGCGACAUACCUGCAUUACGAGCAUGAGUGCUCGUUGAAUCAGGCUGACAAGAUGCGGAUAGAACGGAGCCCGGUACACUCUGUGGUGUACGGUAAGCUGAUCGAGUGUCAUGUACCGACGGACUCGACCUGGUGAGAUGCUUGCUAGGGUGUGAUGCCAGUAGCCGCCGUGCCGGCCAGUGUUUUCGCUCUGAACCGAGACCUGGACACCUCGAUCACCAUUCGGAAGAAGAGUCUGGGGCAUUCGGGGCGUCCAGCGGCUGUGUCUCGAGCGGGCGUCUAAAGUGAUUGUUUGGUACACGUUAUUGGCAUUGUGCUGGGAUGCGCAAGGCUUUCGAUGCCAAUGAAUCCGUACCCCGGGAUAGACGGCAUUGGAUUUCCGCCUGGAGCCUGGCACGGGUACGGUGGUGUUCAGCAUUGCACCAAGGCGACAGCGCCGUACUGGUACACUGGGAAGGAUUUGCUGGGCAAUGGUUGCAGGAACGAUACUGAUAUUCCGCGAUUCGCUAUUCCCGCGUAUAGGCAUGGAGGCGUGGUUGCGGAAUAUUUUCUAUAACGACACAUCUCUCUUUUUUAAUUUCCUUUUGAAUCCCAUCUUUUCGCUCUACAAUCCGUAGCUGUCGGAUACGGGCUUUGUACCUGCUCGCUCUUUCCUCUUAAUAUUUGCGCCUUGUAUCGUUGAGCCGUGCGAGCUGCGCAUAUCGCAGAUCUCUCAGGAGACAAUACAAGCGAGGCUGCACGCUCCUUGUGUUGGACAGCGGCUCUGGCGCCCAGGCUGCGCUGCGCUCGCGACGCGCCCUCUCUAGGUUCCAUCCGAACGUGGAUCAGCGCUAACUGAUGACCCAUCCACAGCGCAAUGAGGCAAGUCACGCUCGCUGCAUCAUAUUCUGGAAUGAUGUAUGAGUCUUGACGACGGCAUCGUCUCGGCGCUUUUUCGGACCGAAAGCAACGCUACGUUACUUUACCAAGGCGCGACGCAAUGGAUGAAAGUUUUUGCAAGUAUGCGUAUCUGCCACGAUUCCAACUUCGGAAACGUGUUAGAGCUGAAACCGUUUACGCGAGCACGACCUGCCGCAAGAGUGUGACUCGGGACACAGGUUUUGGCGUGACUGCUGCUUUGCCAAUGCCUGAUACACAGCUUGGCGAGACACACACUGUGCCAAAGAAUCCAAGACCCGUGUCGCGCUAUCGUGCUCAUCGUCGCUUGCAUGUGCCAAGAAGCAGCAAUCACAUACUGUUUCCUGGUUCGGUCUGUCUGUAGGAGUUGGGUAUCUGCGGUCGAGCGUGAUGCUCCCUGCAUGUCUUCUGCGCGAUGAUCAGGCUAAAUAGCAUAUCCUCGUUUCCCAUGCUGGCAGGAGGGAAACUUCUGGUGCACACAGCAGCACCUUCGUGUGCAUUCGAAUCGAUCUGGUUCCCGUAUUGGAGCCAUAGGACGCCCAGUGUUCGGAUCAGCAUCUUCGACUAUACGAGACAAGCGUCGAGUUUGGAAGCAGCGUCAUGCCGGCACGCUGUCCUGCGCACUAGCUCAGUAUGCACCCACGCCCGACAAAAACCGCAGUCGUUCAGCCCGAAGGUGGUGAUUCUCGCUGCGCUUGCAGCAUCGCUUCCGAUCGGUACGCUUCAAGAUAUCUUCUUUCAGCUUCGCGCUUCACAGCGAGUAGAUUCGGUACGAGAUCCUCCCGAAUGCGCCAUUCUACCAAUCGCACGGGAACCAUAUGACGGGGUACGAUCUCAACCACGUAGCCUAGGAUCGUACUGGGUACAGGAUGUGUAGCGUCACCGCCCUCGGCAGCUGCACGAUCCUCCUCUGCUGGUGAUACGCUCCCAGCAUCGUCUGCGGUUUCUCUUAUUUCCUCGAGAUACCAUUCACCCUCGAAGCGACUAAAGUCCCGACUUUGAACCAUGUCAAAAUAGAUACUCCGUCGCUGCGGCACCUCGUCUGGGUUGCCUACCACCUCACUCAUGUCCAUGAGCACUGCGGCGCGAAAACGGAACCCAAAAACGUUCUGGAUACCUUCCUGCUGCAGCCGAAUUCCGCCGCUCGGAUGCGGGCACGUACGGGACACAGCAAGGUUCGG